rnacentral:rRNA from 1 species
UACGUAGGUGGCAAGCGUUGUCCGGAAUUACUGGGUGUAAAGGGAGCGUAGGCGGGAAAGCAAGUUGAAUGUUUAAGGUACGGGCUCAACCUGUACAAGCGUUCAAAACUGUUUUUCUUGAGUGGAGUAGAGGUAAGCGGAAUUCCUAGUGUAGCGGUGAAAUGCGUAGAUAUUAGGAGGAAUACCAGUUGCGAAGGCGGCUCUCUGGACUGUAACUGACACUGAGGCACGAAAGCGUGGGGAGCAAACAGG